CCUACGGGGGGCUGCAGUGAGGGAUAUUGCGCAAUGGGCGAAAGCCUGACGCAGCGACGCCGCGUGAGUGAUGAAGGCCUUCGGGUCGUAAAACUCUUUUCUGUGUGACGAGCAAGGACGGUAGCACAGGAAUAAGUCUCGGCUAACUACGUGCCAGCAGCCGCGGUAAAACGUAGGAGACAAACGUUAUCCGGAGUUACUGGGCGUAAAGGGCGUGCAGGUGGUUCGCUAAGUCUGGCGUGAAAUAUUUCGGCUUAACCGGGAUAUGUCGUCGGAGACUGGCGGACUAGAGGGUGAUAGAGGCGUGUGGAAUUCCGGGUGUAGUGGUGAAAUGCGUAGAGAUCCGGAGGAACACCAGUGGCGAAGGCGACACGCUGGGUCACACCUGACACUGAUACGCGACAGCAUGGGGAGCGAACGGGAUUAGAUACCCUAGUAGUC
rnacentral:rRNA from 1 species